AUUCUCAAUUAAACUAUUCUUUG
rnacentral:tRNA from 1 species